rnacentral:misc_RNA from 1 species
UCAUCCCACCGAUACUCCUCAUCCCCUUCUGAGCUGCUUGAAAGCUUCCUCCUCUGUUUACGUUUCCUCAAGUAUUCCUCAUCAUAUACAGCUUCUCCAACUAUGUCAUCAUCACUGUCGAAGUCUGCUUCAUUAUCAGAAACUGCUUCAACAAACUCUUUUGCUGAAUACCGUUGAGGCCUCUGCCUUCGCCUAUUGCUUCGGUCCAAUAAUUCAGGUUUAUUCUCUUCAUCAAUAUCAUCAUAACUGGGUGAAUUGGGGUUUGUCAAACUGAAGGUGUCAUGUUCAAAGACAUGUGAAGGACCACUCCAUCUACCAUUUGUUGAAGCUUCAGGUUUGAUAAUACCUUCUCUUCUGUGAAUAGGCUCUGGGGAUGGUGGUUUUCGCUUGGUUAUUUUAAUAGCCUCAUUGAUUGACCGGUCAUAAUCAUCAAAAGUAUAAGUAACAGGUUUUCUGUCACGAAGUGAACGUCCUAA